rnacentral:rRNA from 1 species
CCUACGGGUGGCAGCAGUGAGGAAUAUUGGUCAAUGGGCGUAAGCCUGAACCAGCCAAGUCGCGGGAGGGAUGAAGGUUCUAUGGAUCGUAAACCUCUUUUAUAAGGGAAUAAAGAGUGGGACGUGUCCUGUUUUGUAUGUACCUUAUGAAUAAGGAUCGGCUAACUCCGUCCCAGCAGCCGAGGUAAUACGGAGGAUCCGAGCGUUAUCCGGAUUUAUUGGGUUUAAAGGGUGCGUAGGCGGCCUUUUAAGUCAGCGGUGAAAGGUUGUGGCUCACCCAUAGAAUUGCCGUUGAAACUGGGAGGCUGGAGGAUGUUUGAGGCAGGCGGAAUGCGUGGUGUAGCGGUGAAAUGCUUAGAUAUCACGCAGAACCCCGAUUGCGAAGGCAGCCUGCCAAGCCAUGACUGACGCUGAUGCACGAAAGCGUGGGGAUCAAACAGGAUUAGAUACCCUUGUAGUC